ACCUCCCGGACCCCACUCUGUUCCUGGGGAUUCGCCCUUCCCACCAGGAGCACCACCAGAACCUACAUCAGAGAUGACUAGAAACUUGGCUUCAAGGACUCCUCUAGGAAGUGAAUGUCAGGGUCAGGGGUGAACAGAAGGUAAAGCUGAGGGGUCCUCCAUUUCUAGCUAAUGAAUUGCAGUCAAAACUUCUCAGACCUAGUCCCCAGUUUGCCUCAUCCUGAAGUUCCAGAUUGGUUCCUGUCACUGAAAUCUGCAAUGAGGAAAAGCAUUACAGAAUCACAACUUUUCAAGCUAUAGUGAUUGAAUUGUGAUUAACUUGAUUCACUAAACAUCGAUUCAUCUCUUCUUAGAUAUCUAAAGUCAUACACUAAUUGGCAGAACCCCGGAAUCCAGUGGGCAAAGAAACCUGUGAUGUAGGCCAAGUGGAAGAGUCUCCAAGGACAUUGAAAAAGAUGAUAAUGGUAGGAAUUGGAUCCAGAGAAUGAAUGAACAAAUGAAUGAAUGAAUGAAUGAAUGGUUACACAUGUAUAAUAUUAUAUAUAGUGUUAUACACAUUUACAUAUAAUGUAUAUAGGUCUAUAUUUUUAACUAUGUUAAUAUAACUGUAUAUCUAUAUCUAUAUUUAUAUAUGUAUCAUCUAUAUCUAGCUCAGUUUUACCACUAAAGCAAGGUUACCUCUUGUUAACUCAUUUUCUCCUGCAAAGUAGAAAUGUGUCUCCUUGUGACUCUCACAUUUGUUCAAAUUCUUAUUCUUAACUCUCCAGAGCAUGGUUUGGUAUUCCUUAAAUAUUGGAAUACAUUUAGCAUUUUCCUUUUAACUCAUCUCUUCUCCAGUUUUAGCUAACAAGAUUAUCAAGAAUUUCUCCUGUUAUAUCUAAUGGGGUAGUUUAGAUUCUAAAGUUAGCAAGAAUGGUGGAAAUGAGCAUAGUUAAAAUAAAAUUACAUUUUAAAUCACUCACACCAUCCAUAUAACAUGUAUACAUUGUUUAAUGCAUGCAGUAUUGUAUUGGAGAGCCACGACAAAGGCAACAAAAGCAAAGUCUACAUGUAGCUGUGUGGGAAUUGAAGCUAUUUUAUCUCAUAUGUGACUACAAAUCCACAGUGGUGAAUGGAAAAGGAAGGAAAAAUUCUAACGCGUUCCUAAUUGCCUGUAGGGUUUAUGCCAUUCUGUUUUAAUAUGAAGUCUCUCUAGUUUUUAUAAAUCUGUGUUUGUUUCUUCCUGCGAGGAUUAAAGAAAUGAGUGAAGUGACAUCUUUGGAGAAGAUUAUAAGACAUAAGUUAAAUGUGUAUAUGUUAUAUUUCUACAAUAUAUGGUUUCUACUCUCCUCUCAACUCCCAAAACCCUCUUCUUGGAGCACUAUUUCAUCAGUAUUUCUUGUCUAAGAUAUUUAGACUUGGACGUGAUAUCCCAGUUUUGAAUUCCCUAUGUAGAGGAUAGAGAAUAAUAAUAAUACCUUAGACUUAAAACUAUAAUGCACUUACUACAACCAAUAAUUGCAUUGCUACAUUGGUUAAUUUAUAUUAAAUUAAAAUCUUUAACUUUGUAAAAUAAGAGCUGUUAUUUAAUUAGGCACUGAUAAAUUGAGAACCUAUGUAAUUUAUAACCCAAAUAGAUGCCAAUUUAUUGGUCUUCGAUAAAUAUUUUUUUGAAGUCACCUAACCUGUUGCAAGAAAAUUGUAAGAAAUGAGAUACAUAAGUUUUCAAACUCUAGAUGAAUAAACAUAUUUGUGAAAUAUUGUAGAAGGGACUCCUUCAUUACACAGAUAUUUGGAAUUAAUGAGCACAGAGGUCUUUUAAUUCAAUACAUUCAACAAAUAUUCAUUGAAUAUCUAUUAUGUGACAGGUGCCAUAAAACAAAGUUACAAUUAAUAAGUAAUUCAUGAUCCCUAGCCUAGGACUGCAGUUUGGUAGGUUGACAAUAUGUAUGCCAAAGUUAGGGGUGGUGCUUUGAAAAGAUAAAUGAUGCUGUGAGGGAACAGUGUAGUUAGUCUUCCUCGGGGAUGAAGGUAAGGUAUGUGCAUGGUAGAAAUUCUUCACAAAAGAUAUAACAGGAAUCUUGAAAGAUACAAAGAAAGAGUGGGGGCCUCACAAAAGAUACUCCAGGAUAGGAAACAGCAUCAAUGGUUCAUUAAUAUUAAACUAAUGUCUCCUACAGAGCUACAGAGAUCAUAGAGGUAUAGAGAAUAUAGGGAUAUAACCAGAGAAACAAGUAAGAAAAAUAUUAUUAAGAUCUCUACCAGACUUGUAUUUUGUACUUCAUCCUAUGAGCCUUGAGAGCCAAUAAAACACUUUAAAUUAAGGUGUGAUUCAAAAAUACCUGUCUACCAGGUGCCUAGGUGGCUCCGGAGGUUAAGUGUCCAACUCUUGAUUUGGGCUGAGAUCAUGAUCUCAUGGUUCCUGGGAUUGAGCCCCACAUCAGGCUCUGUGGAGCCA